rnacentral:rRNA from 1 species
GACGAACGCUGGCGGCGUGCUUAACACAUGCAAGUCGAACGGAAAGGCCCAGCUUGCUGGGUAUUCGAGAGGCGAACGGGUGAGUAACACGCGGGUUUUCUGCCCCCAACUUUGGGAUAAGCCUGGGAAACAGGGUCUAUUACACGAUAUGAUCAACUGUCCCGCGGUGGUUGGGUUGAAGCUUUUGCGGUUGUGGAUGGGCCCGCGGCUUAUCAGCUUGUUGGUGGGGUAGUGGCCUACCAAGGCGACGACGGGUAGCCGGCCUGAGAGGGUGAUCGGCCACACUGGGACUGAGAUACGGCCCAGACUCCUACGGGAGGCAGCAGUGGGGAAUAUUGCACAAUGGGCGCAAGCCUGAUGCAGCGACGCCGCGUGCGGGAUGACGGCCUUCGGGUUGUAAACCUCUUUCGCCUGGGACGAAGCGUGAGUGACGGUACCUGGUAAAGAAGCACCGGCCAACUACGUG